AUAAUUUACCAUAAUGGAAGGUUUGUCAUUAUAGAUUUAAUUCUGAUUUUUGGUUGAGAAUAAAAUUUUAAAGGAUUAGAACUUUAAGGGCAUUCCUUUAUUUGUUCAUUAAUUUAUAUAUUCAGUAAGCAUAUGAGGUCUUUUACAAUAUUUUUAGGCUCUGAGGUGUGAGUAUAGCAACUGUAUAAAAUGAUGUGCAUUCCAAGAUAGCACUUGACCAAAGACACUCAAAACAGAGGAGCGGGAAAAGCCCAUGCUCUAGUGGGAGGAAUUAAUUGCUAGACAAAGGCAUGGAGUUUCCUGAGAUCACAUAUCCCAGGAGGAGCAUCAUCACUACCCUAGGCUGUAAGUAAAAGAACAAGAAUAUGAGAACAGUGGAUGACGUAACAUUUGGCCCAAUGCCACAUUUGGGAGGAAAGAAACUCUGUAAAAAACAAACAAACCAAAAAAAAA
rnacentral:lncRNA from 1 species